rfam:Bacteroidetes bacterium 46-16 SCNpilot_cont_1000_p_scaffold_56, whole genome shotgun sequence.
ACGGGCAUAGUUCAACGGUAGAAUAGAGGUCUCCAAAACCUUUGAUCCUGGUUCGAAUCCGGGUGCCCGUG